rnacentral:rRNA from 1 species
CGCUCCUUGAUUUUAAUUAAUAAGGAGUCGGACCUGCCCAGUGAUAAGUAUUUAACGGCCGCGGUACUCUGACCGUGCAAAGGUAGCAUAAUCAUUUGCCCUAUAAUUGAGGGCUAGUAUGAAUGGUUUGACAAGAACAAUACUGUCUCUUUCAAAAUUUCUAGAAUUUAUUCUUUAGGUGAAGAAACCUAAAUAAAAUUAAAAGACAAAAAGACCCUAUCGAGCUUAAACUCUUUUUAUAAAAUAAAAAAAAUUAAUAAUAUUUUUUGUUAUAAAAAAUUUUGGUUGGGGCGACUAAGGAACAAAAAAAGCUUCUUUAUUUAAUAAAGACAAAUGUGUGUUGAUCCAUAAAAUCUUGAUUAAAAGAAUUAGUUACCGUAGGGAUAACAGCAUAAUCUUUUUUAAGAGUUCUUAUCGAAAAAAAGGUUUGUGACCUCGAUGUUGGACUAAAAUUUCCUAAUAGAUGCAGACGUCUUUAAGGG